rnacentral:lncRNA from 1 species
GUUAGUGAGAUGGUUUUGGUGGAGUGAGGAGCGCAGUGAGCAGAGGAGUUGAUGGGAGAUAAACAAAGAUGGCAAGGGUAGAACUAAAUGAAAUUUUGUUUUCAAUAGGAGAAGGGAAAUAGGAUGACAUGAGAGGCAGAUGAGACCUAAUGCCCUAGACAGCCAGAAGUUCCUUUGAAAAACUCCUAUUUUGAAAGAGGUUCCAAGGGCAUUCUGGAUGAAUGAAUGAUGCAGGCAUUCUGGCAGCAGUAAGAAGAACGUGAUGAAACAGGUAAAUGCUAAGAGUCAGGGAGAUCAGUAGGAAUUUGUGGUUCAAAUCUAGGCAAGAGGUGAUGUUGAUCUGGAUUACGUUGGAACAGUGGGUGUGCAGAAGCUGUCUAAAUUAAUCAAACUGUGGUUAGUAAUAAACCUUUAGUGCCUUACGAAUUUAUCUCAAUGUAAAUUCAAAAUUUUCUUUUUUCUAGGUAAAAUCAAAGUUGAUUAUUUGGAUUCAUUCUACGAUAAAGGAAAACUUACGGAAUACGAUGCUCUUUUGGGUGUUCCAGUUAUACACCAUCGUAUCCAUCCUGUAAAAUCAACUAGGUGUAGAAAAAUUUCUGUGUCCCAGAGAGAAGGAAAUAUGAAGACUGGUGUCAAGAAAGAGAAAUGGGAGAGAGUUGAAUGCAUCCCUGCCGAGUUCUAUAGAAGGAGAUCUGGUCAUUUUCUAGACCAGUUACAGGUUGGAAAUCUGGGAAGUUCUUAUCAUCACCUGGGAUCAUUUAAGCUGUAGUUACCUGAAGGCUCCAUCGUGGCUGGAGGGUCCAGGUUGUCUUCACUCAGAUGUGUAGCAGUUGUUCCUGGAUGUCGGCUGAGACUCCUCAGUUUUCCAGAUGAUUUCUCAUUUUCUGGUUAGUUGGUCUGCACUUCUUCAUAACACUGAGAUGGAAGGAUUAGAAUAGGUUGAGUGUGGGAGCUGCAAAAAUAGGGGUUAUCCUUGUUCAGUGAUAGGAGAGUGUUACUCAGAGGAGAAUUUUUAUCUUAUCUGAAAUAUUUAAAUGUUAUAAUGUUAAGUCAUGAUUUACCUGUAUAAUUAAAAUGAUAUAUAAAUAUAUUAUAGACAAUGUUGUACCCCUGACCAAAAUUUGUGGAUUGAAACCUAAUCUCCAAUGGUAUUGUGAAAGUGGGGCCUUUGGGAUCUGAUCAAGUCAUGAGGAGGGAGCCCUUAUAAAUGGGAUUAGUGUCUUUCUAAAAUAGACCCCGGCCAAAGAACUAAAUAGACAUU